rnacentral:lncRNA from 1 species
UCCCUUUAAGAGACACCACAGCAUAACCACAGGGGUGUGACCUUAUUUUACAGAUUCAACAGGACCAUUUUCUCGUCAACAUAAUAAGAGCUAAAAAGUAUUUAAUAGUACCAAGGCUUUAUGUAUAGUAAUUACAUCUGCUCUUCACAACAACCUUAAGAGGUCACUAAUACUGCUACCCUAUUUCCAGAGGAGGAACCUGGAGUCUACCUAAGUGACUUGUCCAAGAUGACAAAUGUAGGGGGUUGCUUUUGAGACAGCAUCUCACUGUGUUCCAUAGGUUGUGUAGUGGCACAACCACAGCUCACUGCAACCACAACCUUCCAGGUUCAAGGGUGCCUCCCACGUCAGCCUCCCAAGUAGCUCAGACCACAGAGAAAUGUCUGUUGGCCGGGCACAGUGACUCACACCUGUAAUCCAAGCACUUUGGAGGUCAAGGUGGGAGGAUCACCUGAGGUUGGGAGUUCAAGACCAGCCUGACCAACAUGGUGAAACCCUGUCUUUAAAUAAAUAAAUAAAAAUUUUAAAAAGAGGGAAAUGUCUGUUAAUUACCUUUGUCCAU